rnacentral:rRNA from 1 species
AAUGAACGCUGGCGGCGCGCCUAACACAUGCAAGUCGAGCGAGGCCACGGGGUAACUCGUGAGUCGAGCGGCGAACGGGUGAGUAACGCGUGGGUAAUCUGCCCGGGAGCGGGGGAUAGCCUUGCGAAAGUGAGGGUAAUACCGCAUAUACAUGGUGGGGCUGCGGUCCUACCGUGCAAAGGCUGGGAUCUUCGGACCAGCCACUUCCGGAUGAGCCCGCGUCCGAUUAGCUAGUUGGCAGGGUAAAAGCCUACCAAGGCUACGAUCGGUAGCCGGCCUGAGAGGGUGAUCGGCCACAUUGGGACUGAGACACGGCCCAGACUCCUACGGGAGGCUG